rnacentral:rRNA from 1 species
AAUCAACGCUGGCGGCGUGCCUCAGACAUGCAAGUCGAACGAUUAAAGCUCUCUUCGGAGAGUGUAUAGAGUGGCGCACGGGGUGAGUAACACGUAAGUAAUCUACCUUUGAGUGGGGAAUAACCCGGGGAAACCCGAGCUAAUACCGCAUAAUGCAGCGGCACCGCAAGGUGACAGUUGUUAAAGGAGCAAUCCGCUUAAAGAGGAGCUUGCGGCAGAUUAGCUAGNGGUAAGGUAAUGGCUUACCAAGGCUUCGAUCUGUAUCCGGCCUGAGAGGGCGGUCGGACACACUGACACUGAAUAACGGGUCAGACUCCUACGGGAGGCAGCAGUCGGGAAUUUUGGGCAAUGGGCGAAAGCCUGACCCAGCAACGCCGCGUGAAGGAUGAAGUAUUUCGGUAUGUAAACUUCGAAAGAAUGGGAAGAAUCAAUGACGGUACCAUUUAUAAGGUCCGGCUAAC